GGGAUUGCAGUGGCAAAGCUAGGCUAGGUCUUGGAGGCUGGUGUAAGGCGAUGUGGGUGAAGGCAGGAGGCUGAUGGAAAGACUGGGGGGAAGAAAAGCCGAAAUGGAUUCACGGUGCCUUGGAUGAAGGACGAGAGGGGAACUGCAAGCUCCUUCAACUGGUUCUGUCCGGUGAGAAGUGAUCAAGCUUGGGCUGACAAGAGGCUCAGGGAGCCCUCACGUUCUUUCGCUUUUUUACCUGCCAAUCAAACUGCUACAAGACAACACCCUGAUCUGGCAUGGACAUCGCGGGUCCAAGCCUGUAGCCCCAAAUCGGAUAAUCUCUGCAGCUGAUAACAAGCAAAAGAGAAGCCAGGCAACAGCCAUAUUAAAGAAGAAAACAAUCAACUCUGAGGAUGGCUGCCAGGGAAUAGAUGAAAGGCAGAAGUGGCGAUGGGUGACUGAUGUGGCACACUUAUGAAGAAAAGCCUCUUUUUCCAUGCUUGUUUUUCCUCCCCAAGGAGCCAACAGAGUUUCUAUUCUCCAACUCUGCUCUUCACCUUACCCAAGUCAUUGCAGUCACCUGGAGUCACGGAAAUGACCAUGAUUGCCUGAACUUUCAUGACUUCUGUGGAUAACU
rnacentral:lncRNA from 1 species